AGUGAACGCUGGCGGCAGGCCUAACACAUGCAAGUCGAGCGGAUGCAGGGAGCUUGCUCCUGGAUUCAGCGGCGGACGGGUGAGUAAUUCCUAAGAAUCUGCCUGGUAGUGGUUGAUAACGUCCGGAAACGGGCGCUAAUACCGCAUACGUCCUUAGGGCGAAAGGGUGGGAGCUUCGGACCUCACGCUCUCGGGUGAUCCUAGGACGGAUUGUCUAGUUGGUGGGGUAAAGGCCUAACAAGGCGACCAGCCGUAGCUGGUCUGAGAGGAUGAUCAGUCACACUGGAACUGAGACACGGUCCAGACUCCUACGGGAGGCAGCAGUGGGGAAUAUUGGACAAUGGGCGAAAGCCUGAUCCAGCCAUGCCGCGUGUGUGAAGAAGGUCUUCGGAUUGUAAAGCACUUUAAGUUGGGAGGAAGGGCAGUAAGUUAAUACCUUGCUGUUUUGACGGUACCAAAAGAAUAAGCACCGGCUAACUUCGUG
rnacentral:rRNA from 1 species